UACGUAGGGAGCAAGCGUUGUCCGGAAUUACUGGGUGUAAAGGGAGCGUAGGCGGCCUGGCAAGCCUGAUGUGAAAUACCGGGGCCCAACCCCGGGGCUGCAUUGGGAACUGCCAGGCUGGAGUGCCGGAGGGGCAGGCGGAAUUCCUAGUGUAGCGGUGAAAUGCGUAGAUAUCGAGAGGAACACUCGUGGCGAAGGCGGGUUCCUGGACAUUAACUGACGCUGAGGCACGAAGGCCAGGGGAGCGAAAGGG
rnacentral:rRNA from 1 species